rnacentral:lncRNA from 1 species
UUACUACAAGAAGGCGGGAUGGAAAACUGGACCCGUCCAAUUUGAUAUUAGCCUCCGCUGAGCCCCUUCACUGCUCUCUGAGCCUUCAUAUGAUGUGCACCUACAUUUUCUUUUAGAAAGCACCUUUGAUUAAAGAGAAAAGAGUGAGCUGAGCCAAAUGCUGAAUAAGAUUUACCUUGGAUAGUUAAAGCAGAACUGGGGCUGUUGAGAGAGAGAACAAACAGUGAUGGAAUCACCGUCCAUGAUAUCAGAAGAUGUUCUUCAGUGUGACAAGAUAAAGGGAGCAUUCACAGUCACCCAAUGGGAAUGAAGUCUGUAAAACCUCUGGGACUCUUUGGAUAAAGUGCUCUACAAACAUGUCAGGUGAACCUGUCAAAGCCAACCCAAAUCUCAUGUGAGACUCCAGCUCUGGGCAGGACUUUGAUUUCUGCUUGAUGAGAUCCUGAACAGAGAACUCAGCUAAGCUAUCUUCACACACCUGACCCACAAACUAUGAGAUGAUACAUGUGUACAGUUUCAAGCCACUAAAUGUCUUGUAAUUUGUGUGUGAC